UGGCUUAUUGUNCANNACAGUUUANCUGCCAUGGGGAUGGNACUGCGGCNNUAUCAGCNUGUUGGUGAGGUNAUNGCCCACCNAGGCGAUUACAGGUACGGGCUCUGAGAGNAGNAGCCNGGAGAUGGGUACUGAGACACGNACCCAGGCCCUAUGGGGCGCAGCAGGCGAGAAACCUUAGCAAUGUGCGAAAGCACGACUGGGUCAGUCCGAGUGAUUCCUGAUAAAGGAGUCUUUUGCUUGUCCUAAAAGCACAGGUGAAUAAGGGGUGGGCAAGUCUGGUGUCAGCCGCCGCGGUAAUACCAGCACCUCGAGUGGUCAGGACGUUUAUUGGGCCUAAAGCAUCCGUAGCCGGCUCUGCAAGUCUUCGGUUAAAUCCACCUGCUCAACAGAUGGGCCGCUGGAGAUACUACAGAACUAGGGAGUGGGAGAGGCAGACGGUAUUCAGUGGGUAGGGGUAAAAUCCUCUGAUCCAUUGAGGACCACCAGUGGCGAAGGCGGUCUGCCAGAACACGUUCGACGGUGAGGGAUGAAAGCUGGGGGAGCAAACCGGAUUAGAUACCCGGGUAGUCCCAGCUGUAAACGAUGCAAACUCGGUGAUGCAUUGGCUUAUGGCCAAUGCAGUGCCGCAGGGAAGCCGUUAAGUUUGCCGCCUGGGAAGUACGGACGCAAGUCUGAAACUUAAAGGAAUUGGCGGGGGAGCAC
rnacentral:rRNA from 1 species